rnacentral:lncRNA from 1 species
CACCUUGAAAACAUACAGAUCCUGUCAUUGCCAAAGGAACCCGAGCUUGAGACCAGGAAUGGUGGGAAUGUUUCAUUACUCAAACACUUGUUUGUGGAAAUUAUUUCAUCAUAGAUUAUGGUGCAUCAAUGGUUCAGGACUGGGGAAGUUAACUGAGUUCUACAUAAUGGGCUUAAAGCAAGCUCUGUUUUAUUGCAGUGCUUCCUGCCUUAUUUUUGGAGUCAAUGAAGAGAGGAAACCAAUAUUUCAAACAGUAGUACAUAAAUACUUCCAGUGUUGCUUCCAGCCAUGUCUGUUUGGUGAGAUCACAUCUUUUAUGUAAUAAAUUUGAGGACCUUGUUAGUAAUACA